GGCUGGUCCAAGUGCAGUGGUGUUUGCAACAAAUUGAUCACAACCAGUUAAAGAUUUCUUUGUUCCUUCUCUACUCCCACUGCUUUACGUGACUGGCCUAAA
rnacentral:Y_RNA from 1 species